UUGGAGGCNCUGCCUGCCCNGUGACNNNNGUUUAACGGCCGCGGUNUCCUGACCGUGCAAAGGUAGCAUAAUCACUUGUUCUCUAAAUAAGGACUUGUAUGAANGGCCACACGAGGGUUUNNCUGUCUCUUACUUCCAAUCAGUGAAAUUGACCUCCCCGUGAAGAGGCGGGAAUAAAUUAAUAAGACGAGAAGACCCUAUGGAGCUUUAACUAACCAAUCCAAAGAAAACAGACUAAAUAACUCAGGAAAUAACAACGUCUUCUUAUGAUUUGACAGUUUCGGUUGGGGUGACCUCGGAGAAUAAAAAAUCCUCCGAACGAUUUUAAAGACUAGACCUACAAGUCAAAUCACUCAAUCGCUCAUUGAUCCAAAAACUUGAUCAACGGAACAAGUUACCCUAGGGAUAACAGCGCAAUCCUAUUCAAGAGUCCAUAUCGACAAUAGGGUUUACGACCUCGAUGUUGGAUCAGGACACCCAGAUGGUGCAACCGCUAUCAAA
rnacentral:rRNA from 1 species